AAGGAUCAUUAUCGAAUAAACUUGAACAGGUUGUUGCUGGCCCUCCCCAUGGGCAUGUGCACGCUUGUCAUCUUUAUUUCUCCAACUGUGCACAUCUUGUAGACCUAGAGUUUGUUUGGAAUUUAUUUUUCGAGUUGGGACUGCUGUGCUUUUUUCUACAAAGUCAGCUUUGCCUUGCAUUUUCUGGUCUAUGUCUUUUUACACAAACCUCAGAGUCUGUUUAGAAUGUUGAAUCAGGUCCUUUUGUACCUAUAAAGUUAAUUAUACAACUUUCAGCAACGGAUCUCUUGGCUCUCGCAUCGAUGAAGAACGCAGCCGUACGGGAUCUCUUGGCUCUC
rnacentral:misc_RNA from 1 species